AUGGUAAAAGGUGGAAAGCGAUAUUCUUCAAUGAGCAAUGAUGGCAAAUGGUUUGCUCAUCCAGUUUUACCAGAAAAUGAGACGAGGAGUCGUGAGGCUUGUACAAGCACUGGGAUCGUGACUCCGGUUAAAUCAUCAGUGCCUCAGGCUUUGAACUUGGAGCGCUAUCCUAAAUGGAAAACUCAGCAGAAAUCCAGAGAAUAUCCAUUCUCCUGCCAUGACAACAAGCAUGCCUUAAAAGACAACAUCACUGUCUUCACUCAAGGUGUGGGACGCAAGAAGUGUCUUGAUGAGCACAGACUGCACAACUCUCACUUCUGCAUGUGCCACGAUGGAGCUUACAGCAGCCCUGAGGGGAACGUCUCGGUCCACCAGACUGACUUCACGAUAAAACCGGUUGUUAAUGUUCCAACCAGCACCAGACGUUUCCCCCGCAACCACAAGCAGAAGGCAGCAGAGGCCGCUUUGGCGCAGGCAGGGGAGAAUUUCAUGUGGUUCGGACGACACGACUCAAACGCCUCAGAGACCCUGCAAGUGCUGGCAGCUACUAAUUGCUCAGCACCAUCCAAGCCCUAACAUACUCCUACAUUUAAGGCACUAGAUGGCAUCAUAGAGAGGGACAGACAGGGAAAAUAGGAAACCUUACAAACAAGAUUUGUUCCACAACAACCCCAAUUAGACUGGAAAGUGGACUAUUCCAAUCCACUUGAUGUACUAACAAAAUAGCAUUUGUGCAUCUUAAAAUAUUUGGAUUUGCAUUUGAAAAUGAUAUUUUGAGACAUCAAGUUGUAUUUAAAAAUACUUUUACUCGCAUAAUCUAUACAAACUUGAAAUGUGAUAUCCAUGUACUCAUAUUACUCUUUCAGGUAUGUUUUCAACAUAUUUAAAGGGGGCACUUCAGUGAUUUGUCAUUAUAAUUUUUUUUAAGGUGGUGGGACUCAAAAAAGACAGAUUAAAAAGAAUGAUCAAAAAAGACGCAGAGAUAUCUGGACUUUUUUUCUCAAGUGUGGGUCAAGCUCCAAAAACACCAGAUACUACAUAUCCCAUAAUGCAACUAAAUUGCAUCUUUUGUUAGAGCUUCUCUCUUUGGUGAAGUACAUUUAGCACAAUUUUAGUAUGUCAAAAAUUGCACAUUUAUUUUAGGACAUUGAUCAUGUGUGCAUAUGGAAGCACACUUAGUAUAUUAACAUGAAAUAUAA
rnacentral:lncRNA from 1 species